UGAACGCUGGCGGCGUGCUUAACACAUGCAAGUCGCACGAGAACGCUUCUGCUUGCAGAGGCUAGUAAAGUGGCGCACGGGUGAGUAACGCGUGGGUAAUCUACCCCCGGAUCCGGGAUAACCCUCCGAAAGGGGUGCUAAUACCGGAUGAGAUCAUAUUUGCUGCGGUGAAUAUGAUGAAAGGUGGCCUCUCCAUGGAAGCUACUGUUUGGGGAUGAGCCCGCGUACCAUUAGCUAGUUGGUGGGGUAAUGGCCUACCAAGGCAGCGAUGGUUAGCUGGUCUGAGAGGAUGAUCAGCCACACUGGAACUGACACACGGUCCAGACUCCUACGGGAGGCAGCAGUGAGGAAUUUUGCGCAAUGGGGGAAACCCUGACGCAGCAACGCCGCGUGAGUGAAGAAGGCUUUCGGGUCGUAAAGCUCUGUCGAGUGGGAAGAAAUCAUGUAUGUUUAAUAUACAUAUGUGCUGACGGUACCACAGAAGGAAGCACCGGCUAACUCC
rnacentral:rRNA from 1 species